CAGUCGCCGCGGGAAUACGGAGGGGGCUAGCGUUGUUCGGAAUUACUGGGCGUAAAGCGUACGUAGGCGGCUUUGUAAGUUAGAGGUGAAAGCCUGGUGCUCAACACCAGAACUGCCUUUAAGACUGCAUCGCUUGAACGUCGGAGAGGUGAGUGGAAUUCCGAGUGUAGAGGUGAAAUUCGUAGAUAUUCGGAAGAACACCAGUGGCGAAGGCGGCUCACUGGACGACGACUGACGCUCAGGUGCGAAAGCGUGGGGAGCAAACAGGAUUAGAUACCCCCGUAGUCCCUGUCUCUUAUAC
rnacentral:rRNA from 1 species